CAGGGCGUAGCUUAGCCGGCGAAAGCGCCAGCCUGGGGGGCUGGAGACCGCAGGUUCGACUCCUGCCGUCCUGA
rnacentral:tRNA from 1 species